rnacentral:rRNA from 1 species
UACGGAGGGGGCUAGCGUUGUUCGGAAUUACUGGGCGUAAAGCGCACGUAGGCGGAUCAGAAAGUUGGAGGUGAAAUCCCAGGGCUCAACCUUGGAACUGCCUUCAAAACUAUUGGUCUUGAGUUCGAGAGAGGUGAGUGGAAUUCCGAGUGUAGAGGUGAAAUUCGUAGAUAUUCGGAGGAACACCAGUGGCGAAGGCGGCUCACUGGCUCGAUACUGACGCUGAGGUGCGAAAGCGUGGGGAGCAAACAGG